GAUGAACGCUAGCGGCAGGCUUAAUACAUGCAAGUCGAGGGGCAGCACAGAUAGCAAUAUUGGGUGGCGACCGGCAAACGGGUGCGGAACACGUACACAACCUUCCUUUUAGUGUGGGAUAGCCCAGAGAAAGUUGGAUUAAUACCACAUAGUAUAUUGGAGUGGCAUCACUUUGAUAUUAAAGAUUUAUCGCUAAAAGAUGGGUGUGCGUAUGAUUAGGUAGUUGGUAGAGGUAACGGCUCACCAAGCCUUCGAUCAUUAACUGGUGUGAGAGCACGACCAGUCACACGGGCACUGAGACACGGGCCCGACUCCUACGGGAGGCAGCAGUAAGGAAUAUUGGUCAAUGGACGGAAGUCUGAACCAGCCAUGCCGCGUGAAGGAUGACGGCCCUCUGGGUUGUAAACUUCUUUUAUGUGGGACGAAAAAGGGCCAUUUUUGGUCAACUGACGGUACCAUAGGAAUAAGCACCGGCUAACUCCGUGCCAGCAGCCGCCGUAA
rnacentral:rRNA from 1 species